UACGUAGGCAGCAAACGUUGUUCGGAAUUACUGGGCGUAAAGAGUGUGUAGGCGGUUUUGUAAGUUUGGUGUGAAAUCUCCCGGCUUAACUGGGAGGGUGCGCCGAAAACUGCAGAGCUAGAGUGCUGGAGAGGAGAGCGGAAUUCCUGGUGUAGCGGUGAAAUGCGUAGAUAUCAGGAGGAACACCGGUGGUGUAGACGGCUCUCUGGACAGUAACUGACGCUGAGACACGAAAGCGUGGGGAGCAAACAGG
rnacentral:rRNA from 1 species